UGCGCAGGCGGUUUUACAAGUCAGGGGUGAAAGCCCAGAGCUCAACUCUGGAAAUGCCCUUGAAACUGUUAAGCUCGAGUGCGGGAGAGGUGAGUGGAAUUCCCAGUGUAGAGGUGAAAUUCGUAGAUAUUGGGAAGAACACCGGUGGCGAAGGCGGCUCACUGGCCCGUUUCUGACGCUCAUGCACGAUAGCGUGGGGAUCAAACAGGAUUAGAUACCCUGGUAGUCCACGCCGUAAACUAUGGACGCUAGCCGUUGGGUAGCUUGCUAUUCAGUGGCGCAGCUAACGCCUUAAGCGUCCCGCCUGGGAGUACGGCCGCGAGGUUGAA
rnacentral:rRNA from 1 species